rnacentral:rRNA from 1 species
UACGUAGGGGGCAAGCGUUGUUCGGAAUUAUUGGGCGUAAAGGGUGCGUAGGCGGUUUGGUAAGUCUUAUGUGAAAUCUACAGGCUCAACUUGUAGUCUGCAUGAGAAACUGCCGGGCUUGAGUGUGGGAGAGGUGAGUGGAAUUCCUGGUGUAGCGGUGAAAUGCGUAGAUAUCAGGAGGAACACCUGUGGCGAAAGCGGCUCACUGGACCAUAACUGACGCUGAUGCCCGAAAGCUAGGGGAGCAAACAGG